rnacentral:lncRNA from 15 species
AUGUGUCCUGGACCCCAUCCCAUCCCACCUCAUCAAGGACUGUUUACUGUUUCUCCACACUCAUCACAGAAAUCAUCAACUCCUCUCUCAGUUUUGGCUCAAUCCCCCAUUCACUCAAACUGGCUGCUGUCACCCCCAUCCUCAAAAAACCUGGACUCAAUCCCGAAAUCAUUUCAAACUUUCAGCCCAUCUCCAAUCUCCUCUUUCUGUCCAAGAUACUGGAAUGCACUGUCGCCAAACAACUCAAAACCCACCUCUGCUCAAAUGACCUGUUCGAACCAUUUCAAUCCGGCUUCCGUUCACAGCACAGCACUGAAACAGCCCUUCUCAAAGUCACUAACGAUACCCUCUUCUCCACAGACUCUGGUCACCUCAGCAUCCUCGUCCUCCUGGACCUCACUGCAGCUUUUGACACCAUCAAUCACACCAUUCUUCUUUCCCUCCUCGAUUCUUCCCUCAGCAUCACCGGCACCGCCCUCUCCUGGCUCCAAUCUUAUCUCACCGACAGAAAACAGUUCAUCCACAUCAACAACUGCACCUCCUACACCGCUCCGCUGUCCCAAGGCGUCCCCCAGGGCUCGGUGCUUAGUCCUCUCCUCUUCAUACUCUACCUGCUUCCCCUUGACAACAUCAUUCGCCACCGUGGUCUCAACUUUCACUGGUAUGCUGAUGACGUCCAGCUUUCCAUCUCCACCAAAUCCAUCACCUCCGCCCACUCACUCCACUCUCUCCAACUGCCUCACUGACAUUAAAUCCUGGAUGCACACCAACUUCCUUAAAGUUAACUGCAACAAAAAAAACAUGAUCAUCAUCGGCCCUAAAACCAUUGCUAAAACCAUUCACAGUUCCUCCCUCACUGUCGACACCUCCACCCUGUCUCCAUCCACUCACAGUCGCAACCUCUGGGUCAUCUUUGACAAUAACCUCUCCUUUGAACACCACAUAAACCAAAUCACCAGAACGGCCUUUCUUCACCUCAAAAACAUAGCCCGACUCCGCCCAUCGCUCUCCUUCUCUGCUGCAGAAACCCUCAUCCACAUCCUGUACUGCACACCAUCCAAAACCUUAAAUAAACUACAUCCAGAA